rnacentral:rRNA from 1 species
GAUGAACGCUAGCGGCAGGCUUAAUACAUGCAAGUCGUGGGGCAGCGCAGUGUAGCAAUACAUGGGCGGCGACCGGCAAACGGGUGCGUAACACGUACGCAACCUUCCCGUUACUGGGGAAUAGCCCAGGGAAACUUGGAUUAAUACCCCAUAUUAUAUUGAUUGGGCAUCUAAUUAAUAUCAAAGCUUCGGCGGUAACGGAUGGGCGUGCGGUUGAUUAGGUAGUUGGCGGGGUAACGGCCCACCAAGCCUACGAUCAAUAGCUGAUGUGAGAGCAUGAUCAGCCACACGGGCACUGAGACACGGGCCCGACUCCUACGGGAGGCAGCAGUAAGGAAUAUUGGGCAAUGGACGAAAGUCUGACCCAGCCAUGCCGCGUGGAGGAUGAAGGUCCUCUGGAUUGUAAACUUCUUUUUUCUGGGGCGAAAAAGGGCCUUUUGAGGUCAACUGACGGUACCCUAUGAAUAAGCACCGGCUAACUCCGUGCCAGCCGCCGCCGUAACAC